rnacentral:ncRNA from 1 species
GAACGCCGUAUGAGGUGAAAGUCUCACGUUCGGUGUGGAAUGGGGGAAAAGAUGGAAAAUACAUAAAAAUACAUUUAUUCUUUUAUGUAUUCAGAUCUUACCUAUCAUUAU